UACGGAGGGGGCUAGCGUUGUUCGGAAUUACUGGGCGUAAAGCGCGCGUAGGCGGCUUUGUAAGUUAGAGGUGAAAGCCCGGAGCUCAACUCCGGAACUGCCUUUAAGACUGCAUCGCUAGAACGAUGGAGAGGUGAGUGGAAUUCCGAGUGUAGAGGUGAAAUUCGUAGAUAUUCGGAAGGACACCAGUGGCGAAGGCGACUCACUGGACAUCUGUUGACGCUGAGGUGCGAAAGCGUGGGGAGCAAACAGG
rnacentral:rRNA from 1 species